GUGUACAUUAUAUUGACUUGCUUUCUUUCAUAUAUAUGAGUAGUGUUAUUUCUUAUGUGGUAUAUAAGUAGUUGAAGGUUAAUUAGAAGUAUAACUAAGCAGUAAUGCUGCCAAUCUCCUUCAAACAAAU